rnacentral:rRNA from 1 species
CUACGGGAGGCAGCAGUAAGGAAUAUUGGUCAAUGGACGCAAGUCUGAACCAGCCAUGCCGCGUGGAGGAUGACGGCCCUCUGGGUUGUAAACUCCUUUUAUCUGGGAAGAAAUGCAGNCUUUCUAGUNUGUUUGACGGUACCAGAGGAAUAAGCACCGGCUAACUCCGUGCCAGCAGCCGCGGUAAUACGGAGGGUGCAAGCGUUAUCCGGAUUCACUGGGUUUAAAGGGUGCGUAGGUGGAUUGGUAAGUCAGUGGUGAAAUCUCCAAGCUUAACUUGGAAACUGCCGUUGAUACUAUCAUUCUUGAAUAUCGUGGAGGUAAGCGGAAUAUGUCAUGUAGCGGUGAAAUGCUUAGAUAUGACAUAGAACACCGAUUGCGAAGGCAGCUUACUACACGAUCAUUGACACUGAGGCACGAAAGCGUGGGGAUCAAACAGGAUUAGAUACCCUGGUAGUCCACGCCCUAAACGA